rnacentral:misc_RNA from 1 species
UUCAGAUAUCAAGCCACGAAGUUGUUCCUCAGGAAAGGCAACUUUCCACAAAGCUUUUAAAGCUUCCUGAUGUUCAGGGAUUAAACUAUCAUAUGCAACGUCUAUACGGUUUUGUAGCCUUAGCAAACAUUCCUCCUGGGAUGGAGUUAAAUCAAAUGAUGGACGAGCAUCACUCUCCCUCCUUUGAACACAAACACAUGAAAGGCCUCUGCCUAGCCAUGCAGCUGAUCCUGCCACAACCUCCGCAGAAGUCGUAUGACAAGCAUUGCCUCUUUCAAGUCCUUGAGAUAUCCUCCUUACAGCCACGAACGAUCCUCCUCUGUCAUCCAUACUUUUCAGCUAAUCGAAAAAUUAUUCUCUACAAUACUUGCAUCACAUUCAACCUCCUCCAAACAACAACACACUCCAAUGCUCCUCCGUCAAUGAAAACGUAAGCCAAAAAUCUCAAAUAACGAAGUUGAAUUCCUUUUUCACAGAGAAAUGCACAAUCAAUUAAUCCUCCGGUGGAAUCUCGAGAUCUGAAAUCGGAAUACGAACGGCAGGAAAG